rnacentral:tRNA from 1 species
AAGAUACUAGUAAAAUUAUAUUACACUGCCUUGUCAAGGCAAAAUUGUAGGUUAAAAUCCUGCGUACCUUG